AUUCAAGUAGCUUAUAUUUAGAGCAUGGUUUUGAAGCAGCCAGGGAAAUUAUUUUAAUUCUUGAAUA
rnacentral:tRNA from 1 species